CAGCCCUCUUAAGCUGAGAAAGUUGUAGAAACUCUGCCAAAGGUAAUGUAUGUGUGUGUGUGUGUGUGUAUGUAUGUCUGUGAACUUUCCCACACGUGUAAAGCCACGAUUAGAUAUCGCUCAUAUCAAAGCUCAUGUCUGCCCGUGUUUUUCCUUGUCGCUCAAUUUGUCUCCGAGCCUGUCCUAUUGCUGCUCUGCUCACUGUCAUCAAGUUCACCCAGUCUCCCCGUCUGUCUCUGCAGGCCUCUUGGGUCAGAGGGAGGUUGAUCUCUUGCAUGCCGGCUGUGGGAACCCCAACACGCAUGCAACACACAAGCACACACAGCUGAGACCCGCUGUUGGAUGUUUUGGAUCCCCCGUGUCCAUAAAAGGCCAUAUGGGAACAUGUGAACGAAAGAAAAUGGAAGAAGAACGCGUUUCUUUCUUGAGUUCGGAAUAUUCCCAGGAUGAAGACUAGUGAAGACACCCCAAGGGCUGACCAGCUGAGCACAGCAGACAGGACCAGUGUACUCCGUGAUCUGACUUGUCCUUAGCUACAUCUGCAAAACACCGAGUAAGAGUGAAGUAAUAUGUGGAACGUGACACAGUAACCAGACUGUGGUCUGCCAGGUAACAAUCAGGACAGAGGGGGUUCUAAGAGCUGAGGGUGGAGUUGGCAGAGACCCAGAGUGUGGAUACUUGGGAUAAUUUCAUCCCCCAAAGGAGACAUUCUCUGUUUGCUUGCCCCUUUCCACAUGGGAGAAAAGACCGCAGAGCUGAGAACUUCAGGGUUUUGCUCAAGGAGGAACUUAGGGUUGAAACCAGGACGAGGACAGACUUGUGUGCCUACCUGCAGGAGGUGGGGUUGAACCUUUUGCCCUGCCGCAGACACGACUUUGCACUCUCUCUGCACUCACACAGGCAGGUGUCGGGGUUCAGGGGCUGAUUCCCGGGACACUCUGCAGCACACACGCAGCCACACAGCUCCUCAUCCCACCGCUGGCCGGUGGGGCACCACUUCCCCUCACCUUGGCCUUCACACUGGCAUUCACCUGAGAGAAGGAAGAGUUGAAUUUAAUGAAUUAAAACUAAACUUGAUCAGGUGUUGUGGUCCAGUUUCCAGCCUGGAUCGCAGCUGUCCUCGGUGAGUCCAUUCCGACAAACGCACUCGCAGGUGGGCUCAUGCAGAAUCCUGUUGGGCCCACAGAGAGCCAGCAGACCAGAGUCCAGUGCCUCUGGAAGCCACACGGAAAGAAGGUGAUCUGAUGCAGCUCGUCUUAUGAUGGAGUGGAGAGGCCGCUUGGAGAGGCAUUCGCACGAAGUGUGGUUGACGAAGGAUACCAUGACAACUGAGCGAUCCAUCCUGGGCGGGGACAGUUCCAUCAACUGGCAGGAAGAAAGGGCGAAGCAGUUACAGACAACUGUAACAUUAUGGGGAAGAUGGACAGACGGGAAAAGGAGAUGAGACAGGAGGCUGACGACAAGGAGAAAGAG